GAGGGUAUAGCUCAGUGGUAGAGUAUGUGCUUAGCAUGCACGAGGUCCUGGGUUCAAUCCCCAGUACCUCCA
rnacentral:tRNA from 1 species